GAUGAACGCUGGCGGCGUGCCUAACACAUGCAAGUCGAACGGAAAGGCUCCUGCUUGCAGGGGUACUCGAGUGGCGAACGGGUGAGUAACACGUGGGUGAUCUGCCCUGCACUUCGGGAUAAGCCUGGGAAACUGGGUCUAAUACCGGAUAGGACGAUGGUUUGGAUGCCAUUGUGGAAAGUUUUUUCGGUGUGGGAUGAGCUCGCGGCCUAUCAGCUUGUUGGUGGGGUAAUGGCCUACCAAGGCGUCGACGGGUAGCCGGCCUGAGAGGGUGUACGGCCACAUUGGGACUGAGAUACGGCCCAGACUCCUACGGGAGGCAGCAGUGGGGAAUAUUGCACAAUGGGCGCAAGCCUGAUGCAGCGACGCCGCGUGGGGGAUGACGGCCUUCGGGUUGUAAACUCCUUUCGCUAGGGACGAAGCGCAAGUGACGGUACCUGGAGAAGAAGCACCGGCUAACUACGUG
rnacentral:rRNA from 1 species